GAUGAACGCUGGCGGCGUGCCUAAUAUAUGCAAGUCGAGCGAACAGAUGAGGAGCUUGCUCCUCUGACGUUAGCGGCGGACGGGUGAGUAACACGUGGAUAACCUACCUAUAAGACUGGGAUAACUUCGGGAAACCGGAGCUAAUACCGGAUAAUAUAUUGAACCGCAUGGUUCAAUAGUGAAAGACGGUUUUGCUGUUACUUAUAGAUGGAUCCGCGCCGCAUUAGCUAGUUGGUAAGGUAACGGCUUACCAAGGCAACGAUGCGUAGCCGACCUGACAGGGUGAUCGGCCACACUGACACUGAAACACGGUCCAGACUCCUACGGGAGGCAGCAGUAGGGAAUCUUCCGCAAUGGGCGAAAGCCUGACGGAGAAACGCCGCGGGAGUGAUGAAGGUCUUCGGAUCGUAAGACUCUGUUAUUAGGGAAGAACAAAUGUGUAAGUAACUAUGCACGUCUUGACGGUACCUGAUCAGAAAGCCACGGCUAACUACGUG
rnacentral:rRNA from 1 species